UACACAUGCACACACACACAACUUCCUCAGAAAUGGUAGAGCGGGAAAGUUGACGGUGGGAAACAUGGUUCCAGAUCCUGAGCAGCAGUUACUGUGAGUAGGUGGCACCUACCGCCUCUCCAGAGCCCUGGAGCACAAAAGAACUCAGUUCUUGACACCCAGCCUGGACAGCUCGAAAGGUCAGAGACAUGCCAGCCUGCUUCUCAGCUCCUUCUGUUGGCUGUUCCCUGAUUCCUCUCCCUGCUGUGAGACCUCCCUCCACCCUGGCACAGCCCCCUUGAAACGCAGCUGCGAAGAGAAAGCAGACAUACCUGCUGUUCUCUCCAAACGCUAGUGUCAAGGAUCCUGUCUCAGAAAGAAGAAGAGUGCACGCGUGCAAGGUGCGAUGAAGGAGUACAAACAACCUACACGCCAGGACAGGGAAUAGGAAAUCAGCAUGCAAGGCAGCAGACAGGUAUCUGGGAGGAAAAAGAGGAGUGAGGAAGGACGGCAGUGGAAUCCCACCCUGAGACACCGAGCUGCCAACACAGCGAAGAUUUCCUCAGAACUCCCAAAGGAUCUCCCAGCUCCCUCUUCCUCCCGCCAGCUCUGUAAAAUAGGAUUGAUUCCCUGAGAAAACCUCAGUCCAUGACGUGCCGACCUUUGAUAUGAGGCUCGGGACCUGUAGCUAACAAAUACAUAGACUGAAAUCUCCUGAAGAACGUCAACAGCAGAGGGCCCUCAACACAGGGUCCUGGUCAUCCAGCUCAUGCUGCCUGCAGAGGAGGAACGGCCCCCUCUUUCCCCUCACCAUGUGGCUAAUACACCCAAAGCCCUCUGCCCUUUCUCUGUAGAUUCCCACAGGGCAGGGUACAGAACUCCAGCGGUUGGGAGUGGGGCUGCCCAGACCCUGAGGCUCAAGGAUCAGGAAAACCGUGAUGCCCGAUAUUUCCCAGCCAUGCUUCUAAUCAGGACCCGUUUGCCUCUCCCAGUCCUGGCAAGAAGUGUGUGGAUCAGUGAUGAGAUUAUGUGAGAAUAACACCAGGAAUUAGAUUUUGAAAAAAAUGCCUCUGAAUUAUCAGUUUUAAGAAAAUUGUCAGAACUGGGCAAUGCAGGAGAGUGGAAGAAACUGCACCUACAGCAGGGACCCAGUUAGACUUCUAUGCUAGAGUUUUUAGCCUACAGUCUAUCCACAUCAGCAUCCGUGUCCCCACAUGUGUGCUGAAAACAGUUCCAUGAGCGCAGUUGGCACCAAAGUGGAGAUGGGAAAGCAACGGGGGAACUAAUGGGAUGCACCAUAUAUACCAUGGCCCAGAACCCAUGGACUGCAGUAGCCUUCCCCUUCCACUGCACCUUACUGUGAAUUGCUUUGUUGGAGGGAGGACUCACCAGCCAAAAGUCAUGUUCAUGGCUUUUGGGCGCCAAUGGUGCUAGCAAACUCAGGGGCUGUCGUGUCCCUCUCCUAAGGCAGAGAAGUCAAGGUUGGACUGGCUGCUGUGAGCUCCUUCACCAUAUCUAUGCCCAAUCCCACUCCAGCUCUAGCAGGCCUUAUUAAGAGGUUGCUCAUCUCUUAAUAAGGAUAUGGAUAGGAAACAGCAAUAUUUCCCUUUCCCACAUGAUCAAGAGUGUGGAACUUGUUGCCAGUGAGUGGUGCUUGGGAAUGGAGGACGACGGCCACCCAUCCUCAGACUGGCAGAGUCAACCAGGAGGCCGUCAAGUAUGGUACUAAAGGUGGACAGAGGAUGACUACUUGCAUUUCAUGAUUAAAGAUUCUUCGGGCUCUUCCAGUUCGGCUGCUUCAUUUCAGGCAAUUAUUGGGUCAAUUCUAAGUUCUACUUACUUCUCCUUCUCCUCUAUAAAAUGAUGUCUGGGGAUUGGAAGAAAGGGUGAGGCUUAAGUGAUAUCAUGGCGGCCGUACAGAGGCGUCCUCAGUCUGAGUGCUAUUCUUUGGAUUCUGCUUAUGUGGCCAUGCAACUUGAACGAUGAUUUCUUACUGGACUGUUCUCUUGCUAGACUUAUGGAUCCCCUUGAGAUUUGGUUGCAACUCAGAGUCGACUCCAAUGUGGGUAACCAGGGUAACGUUUGCCCCAACAAUGGUCACUGAUCAUUUUUCAUUAUACAUCGUACUGGGUUGAACAGUGUGCCCCCAAGAUUCAUGUCUACCCGGAACCUCAGAAUGUGACUUUAUCUGGAAAUAGGGUCUUUGCAUAAUGUAAUUAGUUAUGAUGAGGCCAUAUUGGAUUAGAGUGGACCCUAAAUCCAAUGUGUCUUCAUAAAAAAUAGAGAACACACAGAGACACAGACUCAUGUGGAGGAGCAUGCUAUGCGAAGAUGGAGGCAGAGAUUGGAGUGAUGCAUCUACAAGCCAAGGAACAUCAAGGAUUGCCACAACCACCGGAGGCUAGGAAGAGGCAAGGAAGGAUCCUCCCCUAGAGGCUUCAGAGGGAGCGUGGCCCUGACAACACCUUGCUUCAGAACUGUGAGAGAAUACGUUUCUGUUGUUCUCAACCACCCAGUUUGUGGUAAUUUGUUACAGCAGCCCUGAGAAUCUGAUACAUGCACCAGUAAUAAAAGAUUUUUGAGCACACAUCUCCAAUAGAUGUAUAUUUCUUAAUUUACAAAUUAUGUACUGGUGACACUGUAUUCGUAUGCAAUGGUCCUCAUGAAACAUACACUAAACUUAGAAAUUUAAAAGGAUGUGAUAAAAAAAUAAAUAUGCUCAGAAUUUC